CAGCCCCGGCCGCUGGGCGCACCCGUCCCGUUCGUCCCCGGACGUUGCUCUCUACCCCGGGAACGUCGAGACUGGAGCGCCCGAACUGAGCCACCUUCGCGGACCCCGAGAGCGGCGGCGCGACUCACCGCGGAGGCGCCCGGACGCGUCAAACCCAGCCCAAUAGGAAGCACCUGAUCCACACUCUUUCUAGCCCCAGAGAUGCUCAGGAAAGCAGCUCUUCUUUAGGGCUGUCAUCUGUUCUGGGGAUCUGUUGCUGUUCCUUGGGCCCACAGAAUACACUCCAUACCUCGGGACUCCAUAAUAUUGGACAAGGCUGGAAGGCCCAUUUGGAUCCUGCAGCCUCUUGUGCAGGAGGACCUCCUGAGGCUUCACGCAGGAGCUGGUGCACACCUGGAGGAGAGUGCUGGUGAACGGCAGGUGUGUGCCUCAGUGUCCUUGCUGCCUGGGUGUCAGCCCUGCUUCACCACUGGCCCUUUGUCUCUGUCCCCUCCACUGGCCUCUUGAAGCACAGAGACCCUCCAGUCAUCCUCUUCAGCGGUCCUCCCAGAGCUGUCCUUGGCAUGGCAGCCUCCACAGCCCCAGGUGUCACCCCCGGUUUCAUGUCUGCCUCGUACUCCAGACCUGUCCCUCCCAGGCUGGCCCAGAUGGAUCCUCUGCAGUGACUAACCCGAACCAGCACUGGGCAGGGACCCAAUAAACCUUUGUGAA
rnacentral:lncRNA from 1 species